rnacentral:rRNA from 1 species
GCUGGCGGCAGGCCUAACACAUGCAAGUCGAGCGCGCCUUCGGGUGAGCGGCGGACGGGUUAGUAACGCGUGGGAACGUGCCCUUCUCUACGGAAUAGCCUCUGGAAACGGAGAGUAAUACCUGUAUACGCCCUUUGGGGGAAAGAUUUAUCGGAGAAGGAUCGGCCCGCGUUAGAUUAGGUAGUUGGUGGGGUAACGGCCUACCAAGCCUACGAUCUAUAGCUGGUUUUAGAGGAUGAUCAGCAACACUGGGACUGAGACACGGCCCAGACUCCUACGGGAGGCAGCAGUGGGGUAUCUUAGACAAUGGGGGCAACCCUGAUCUAGCCAUGCCGCGUGAGUGAUGAAGGCCUUAGGGUCGUAAAGCUCUUUCGCCUGUGAUGAUAAUGACAGUAGCAGGUAAAGAAACCCCGGCUACUCCGUGCCCGCAGCCGCGGUAAUACGGAGGGGGUUAGCGUUGAACCGAUUCA